CAGCACCUCAAGUGGUCAGGAUGAUUAUUGGGCCUAAAGCAUCCGUAGCCGGCGCUGUAAGUUUUCGGUUAAAUCUGUACGCUCAACGUACAGGCUGCCGGGAAUACUGCAGCGCUAGGGAGUGGGAGAGGUAGUCGGUACUCGGUAGGAAGGGGUAAAAUCCUUUGAUCUAUUGAUGACCACCUGUGGCGAAGGCGGUCUACCAGAACACGUCCGACGGUGAGGGAUGAAAGCUGGGGGAGCAAACCGGAUUAGAGACCCGAGUAGUCC
rnacentral:rRNA from 1 species